UUUUUUCUGACUGGGCUCUUUUUCUUUCCAAGUAUUGUUCAGUAUCAUAAAUAAAGUUGUCUCUGCUGGAAAGCUUCUGAAGGCCUAGAGAGAAAAGAAGAGCUGCCGGGUAUACCCAGUUGGAAUGAGAAGGUUUUCAUUGGUUCAACAUAAGUGGCUGCUCCAGACUUUGAACAUCUUCAGUGAAACCUUGUGA
rnacentral:lncRNA from 1 species